rnacentral:rRNA from 1 species
CUUGCUCCCUGAGAUUAGCGGCGGACGGGUGAGUAACACGUGGGCAACCUGCCUAUAAGACUGGGAUAACUUCGGGAAACCGGAGCUAAUACCGGAUACGUUCUUUUCUCGCAUGAGAGAAGAUGGAAAGACGGUUUACGCUGUCACUUAUAGAUGGGCCCGCGGCGCAUUAGCUAGUUGGUGAGGUAAUGGCUCACCAAGGCGACGAUGCGUAGCCGACCUGAGAGGGUGAUCGGCCACACUGGGACUGAGACACGGCCCAGACUCCUACGGGAGGCAGCAGUAGGGAAUCUUCCGCAAUGGACGAAAGUCUGACGGAGCAACGCCGCGUGAACGAAGAAGGCCUUCGGGUCGUAAAGUUCUGUUGUUAGGGAAGAACAAGUACCAGAGUAACUGCUGGUACCUUGACGGUACCUAACCAGAAAGCCACGGCUAACUACGUGCCAGCAGCCGCGGUAAUACGUAGGUGGCAAGCGUUGUCCGGAAUUAUUGGGCGUAAAGCGCGCGCAGG